UACCCCGAUGCAUUUGUUUUGCUUUUCGUCAUACCUGGCUUGUGUGGAAUUACUUAAUAAUUUCAACAAUUUAAAAUUCCCAACGCGUUUUUUGCACUCUGCUUUCACGCACUUCGUUUGUUGUUUGUUUCGAGACCAAAUUUUCGGUGUUUUCAGUGGUCGGGUGCAUAAAUUUAAAAACCAAAGCCGGAGAAUUCAGUUUGGUUUUGGUUUUGGAAUCGUGUAAAUCGUUUAUUGUUGCCACGUCCGAUAAUUACAAACGUUGCAUUUGCAUUUUGUCGAUACGUUAACUUAGCUUUGCACUUCUUUCCAAUUGGAGUUGCACAGAGAAAUUACUAAUAAUUGAAAUGUGCCCCACGUAAAGUCCGUUCUUAUCCAAUAUCCGCUGGACACCCCCUUCUCCCAUCAAUUAAAACAACGAUGACAUCACGGGCGGCAAACAAUGAUGACACGCCAACGGAGGACUCUCAUUUCGCUUUUUUGUGGCUGUGCAAAUUGAAAUGCUUUCACAUACGCCAGACAGCAAUACACCCAUGGUCAUCACCAUAAAAAAGUGGAAAAGUGGAAAAUAUUCUUAUCAGCAGACGAGGGGCGGGCCGCUUUGCAUACAGUCAAACUUCUAAAACUACUACUAGCAUCUGCCAUACAAAAAAUGUUCCUAUCAUUUACAUAAAGACAUAUAUAUGUAUAUAAAAACACGUAUGCACUGAGUUAGAUAAAAAGUGAGUAAUUGAAUUUUCCAUUUUCAAGCUUAUGUAACUGCCUUAUUUCUAAUUCCGGUAUAAAAAUAUAUAUUCGAACACCAGGUCUAAAAAAACGUGAAUACCAUUUCUCGGAAUGAAGUUAUUUUCACAUAGAAAUGCGCAACAAGAGACGACAUCCACGUGUCCUAUUUGUUUACCAAAUGACAAUACAAAUGAUCUUAUAAAAAUAAUUUUGAUUAUUUAAAAUUAAAACUGAUUUAAAUUGGCCUCUUGAAGCUAUUUAGCAACAAGAAUAACUCUGCGAAAGUGAAAAAAGAGGUUUCUACGAAAAAUGCGUCUAGGGAGUGUUACCUAGAAAUUGUUUCAGUUUCAAGGAAGAUCCACUGUUUUAAAAUUCUGAGAAAUUUAAUCAAGUUGGGAGAAAUUCUACUAAAGCUUAGUUUCAAUGCGUGUUUUGUGUGUGUGUGUUUAAAAUAAUAAUGAUAAUUACUGGUUUAAAAAAAAAAAAUCACUUUAAUUUUCAGUUAUGUAAAAAGUUAGUUUUUAAAAAUAUUCUGAAUGUAUUUUUCGAGCAUUAAUUGGUUUGUUAAAAUCAAUUUUUUUUUACCCUCUACUAAUAUUUU